CAGAUUUAGAAGGUUUUCCUCACGGCACCAAGACACCCCGUCACCCCCGCCCCACCCCCAGCCAUCCCCGUCGCCACCAAGCACCUGCCCUCUGUGCCUGCCUUUGCCUGUUCUGGACCUUUCGCACCAACGGAGUCGCACGGCGUGGGGGCCCGUGUCCUGCGUCUCUCGUGGAGCCUCUUGCUGUCAAGGUCCGUGCCCCUGAGGCCCGUGGCAGGGCUUCCUUUUUUACGGCCAAACCCCGUCCUGCUGUGGGGGUGGACCACGGUUGUACCUGCAUCAGGCGAUGGACUGUCGGGCUGUGUCCUGUCCGCCGUGGCUGGUUUCAGCUCUUGGGGACCCAGGGGUGACGUGUGAAUGAGCCUGGGCUGGACUCCUGCCUAAUGAACAGCACACAGACCACCUACCUCCAAUACCCCCGUGGACAGAUGCCGGACACCAGAGUGAGGCCAGCGGACGGCACAAGCACACAUGCCCCCAGGCGGUGUCAGUGGUGCCCAGACGAAACCAUGUGGCUGAGCCCUGUCCUGAUGACCAACACACAGAUUUGUGAACAAAUACGUGGUUACUGCUUGAAAC